GGGCCCGUAGCUCAGUUGGUUAGAGCGUUCGCUUGACAUGCGAAAGGUCUGCAGUUCGAGUCUGCACGGGCCCACGA
rnacentral:tRNA from 4 species